CAUGGAGACGUUCUUGGUAACCAGCAGGGCCAGGUGACCGGCCGUGGUUUCUCGGACCAGCUCUGGAGGAGACCAAGGAGACGGCCAGACGGCUUGUUGUCAGGAUAAAGAGCCAUCAAGUAAAAUGACCGGACUCCCAGCCCCACAUAAGGAGCAUCUUCCCUGCAUCAAGCGUUGUAAUGCUCACAAGGGCUGAGGAGGUCCCUGCUCAGCCCAAGC